UACGAAGGGUGCAAGCGUUAAUCGGAAUUACUGGGCGUAAAGGGUGCGUAGGCGGUUCGUUAAGUCUGUUGUGAAAUCCCCGGGCUCAACCUGGGAAUGGCAAUGGAUACUGGCGAGCUAGAGUGUGAUAGAGGAUGGUGGAAUUCCCGGUGUAGCGGUGAAAUGCGUAGAGAUCGGGAGGAACAUCAGUGGCGAAGGCGGCCAUCUGGAUCAACACUGACGCUGAAGCGCGAAAGCGUGGGGAGCAAACAGG
rnacentral:rRNA from 1 species